GGCUUGUUGGUGUAGGGGUAUGAUCCUCACUUACUGUGCCAGAGGUCCUGGGUUCAAAUCUCAGAGGAGUCC
rnacentral:tRNA from 1 species